AUUGAACGCUGGCGGAAUGCUUUACACAUGCAAGUCGAACGGCAGCACGGACUUCGGUCUGGUGGCGAGUGGCGCACGGGUGAGUAAUGUAUCGGAAUGUGCCCAGUCGUGGGGGAUCACGUAGUGAAAAUUACGCUAAUACCGCAUACGAUCUAUGGAUGAAAGCGGGGGAUCGCAAGAUCUCGCGCGAUUGGUGCGGCCUAUAUCAGAUUAGGUAGUUGGUGGGGUAAGGGCCCACCAAGCCAACGAUCUGUAGCAGGUAUGAAAGGACGACCAGCCACACUGGAACUGAGACACGGUCCAGACUCCUACGGGAGGCAGCAGUGGGGAAUUUUGGACAAUGGGCGAAAGCCUGAUCCAGCCAUUCCGCGUGCAGGAUGAAGGCCCUCGGGUUGUAAACUGCUUUUGUACAGAACGAAGAGGUUUCUACUAAUACUAGGAGCUCAUGACGGUACUGUAAGAAUAAGCACCGGCUAACUACGUGCCAGCCGCCGCAGUAA
rnacentral:rRNA from 1 species